rnacentral:rRNA from 1 species
UGGGGAAUAUUGCGCAAUGGGAGAAAGCCUGACGCAGCGACGCCGCGUGAGGGAUGAAGGUUUUCGGAUCGUAAACCUCUGUCAGAAGGGAAGAAACCGCACUGUGCUAAUCAGCAGUGCCUUGACGGUACCUUCAAAGGAAGCACCGGCUAACUCCGUGCCAGCAGCCGCGGUAAUACGGAGGGUGCAAGCGUUAAUCGGAAUUACUGGGCGUAAAGCGCACGUAGGCUGCUUUGUAAGUCAGGGGUGAAAUCCCACGGCUCAACCGUGGAACUGCCUUUGAUACUGCUUAGCUUGAAGCCGGGAGGGGGUGGCGGAAUUCCAGGUGUAGGAGUGAAAUCCGUAGAUAUCUGGAGGAACAUCAGUGGCGAAGGCGGCCACCUGGACCGGUAUUGACGCUGAGGUGCGAAAGCGUGGGGAGCAAACAGG